GGGUUCUGUGUGAAGUGCAGGGAGACGGAUCAGAGCUGAUCCUUUUCUCCCGGUGUAAAAAAAAAAUAGAAAUAAAGUUAAAUCCCACCCCCCCCUUCCCCCUGCUUUAAUAAAAUUAACCCCUUCCCUGCCAAUUGAUCACUGACUACAGUGAUCAAUUAGCAGUGUAUACAUUUUAAUGUCAUCUGAUUUUUUUUUUUAACCUGAG